rnacentral:rRNA from 1 species
AUUGAACGCUGGCGGAAUGCUUUACACAUGCAAGUCGAACGGCAGCACGGGAGCUUGCUCCUGGUGGCGAGUGGCGAACGGGUGAGUAACAUAUCGGAACGUACCCAGUCGUGGGGGAUAACUAUCCGAAAGGAUAGCUAAUACCGCAUACGUCCUGAGGGAGAAAGCGGGGGAUCGCAAGACCUCGCGCGAUUGGAGCGGCCGAUAUCGGAUUAGCUAGGUGGUGGGGGAAAGGCUCACCAAGGCGACGAUCCGUAGCGGGUCUGAGAGGACGACCCGCCACACUGGAACUGAGACACGGUCCAGACUCCUACGGGAGGCAGCAGUGGGGAAUUUUGGACAAUGGGGGCAACCCUGAUCCAGCCAUUCCGCGUGAGUGAAGAAGGCCUUCGGGUUGUAAAGCUCUUUCAGCAGGAACGAAACGGUCGGCUUUAAUAAAGUCGGCUAAUGACGGUACCUGCAGAAGAAGCACCGGCUAACUACGUG